rnacentral:rRNA from 1 species
CCUACGGGUGGCAGCAGUGGGGAAUAUUGGGCAAUGGGCGCAAGCCUGACCCAGCAACGCCGCGUGAAGGAAGAAGGCCCUCGGGUUGUAAACUUCUUUUGUCAGGGACGAAGCAAGUGACGGUACCUGACGCAUAAGCCACGGCUAACUACGUGCCAGCAGCCCCGGUAAUCCGUCGGUGGCAAGCGUUAUCCGGAUUUACUGGGUGUAAGGGUGGUGUGGGCGGGGAAGCAAGUCAGAUGUGAAAUUCCAGGGCUCAAACCUGGAACUGCAUUUGAAACUGUUUUUCUUGAGUGAUGGAGAGGUAGGCGGAAUGCGGGGUGUAGCGGUGAAAUGCAUAGAUAUACGGCGGAACACCAGUGGCGAAGGCGGCCUGCUGGCGACUAACUGACGCUGAGGCGCGAAAGCGUGGGUAGCAAACAGGAUUAGAUACCCGGGUAGUC